rnacentral:rRNA from 1 species
GAUGAACGCUGGCGGCGUGCUUAAUACAUGCAAGUCGAACGAAGCUCCUUAUCUUCGGACGAGGAGUCUUAGUGGCGAACGGGUGCGUAACGCGUUGGUAACCUGCCCCAAAGAGGGGGAUAACAGUUCGAAAGGACUGCUAAUACCCCAUAUGGUCAUCAGGGUUAGAUACCUGAUGAUUAAAGGAGUAAUCCGCUUUGGGAGGGGCCUGCGUCCCAUCAGCUAGUUGGUAGGGUAAUGGCCUACCAAGGCAAUGACGGGUAGGGGACCUGAGAGGGUGGCCCCCCACACUGGCACUGAAAUACGGGCCAGACACCUACGGGUGGCAGCAGUAGGGAAUAUUGGACAAUGGGCGAAAGCCUGAUCCAGCAACGCCGCGUGCACGAUGACGGCCUUCGGGUUGUAAAGUGCUUUUAAGGGAGAUGAGAAAGGACAGUAUCCCUUGAAUAAGCCUCGGCGAACUACGUGCCAGCAGCCGCGGUAAAACGUAGGAGGCAAGCGUUAUCCGGAUUUAUUGGGCGUAAAGCGCGUGCAGGCCGCUUGGAAAGUUGGAUGUGAAAGCUCCUGGCUUAACUGGGAGAGGUCGUUCAAAACUACCAAGCU